UACGAAGGGGGCUAGCGUUGCUCGGAAUCACUGGGCGUAAAGCGCGCGUAGGCGGCUUUGCAAGUCGAGUGUGAAAUCCCCAGGCUUAACCUGGGAACUGCAUUCGAGACUGCAUAGCUAGAGUAUGGGAGAGGGAAGUGGAAUUUCAGGUGUAGCGGUGAAAUGCGUAGAUAUCUGAAGGAACAUCAGUGGCGAAAGCGACUUCCUGGACCAAUACUGACGCUCAUGUGCGAAAGCGUGGGGAGCAAACAGG
rnacentral:rRNA from 1 species